rnacentral:rRNA from 1 species
UGGGUAACCUGCCUCAAAGAGGGGAAUAGCCUCCCGAAAGGGAGAUUAAUACCGCAUAAUAUGUUUUAAUCGCAUGAUUUUAACAUCAAAGGAUUUUCUUCGGAACUUCCACUUUGAGAUGGACCCCGCGGCGCAUUAGCUAGUUGGUGAGGUAACGGCUCACCAAGGCAACGAUGCGUACG